GAUGAACGCUGGCGGCGUGCCUAAUACAUGCAAGUCGAGCGAACGGACGAGAAGCUUUCGUCUCUGCUGGUGGCGGCGGACGGGUGAGUAACACAUAGAUAACCUACCUCUUAGACUUGGAGAACAUCGUGAACACGGAGCUGAUACCAGCUCAUAUUUUGUACCGCAUGGUGCAAAAGAGCAUGGCGCUUUGCCCGUCACUUAUAGACGGAUCCGCGCUACAUUAGCUAGUUGGUAAGGUAACGGCAUACCAAGGCAACGAAGCAUAGCCGACCUGAGAGGAUGAUCAGCCACACUGGAACUGAGACACGGUCCAGACUACUACGGGAGGCAGCAGUAGGGAAUCUUCCGCAAUGGGCGAAAGCCUGACGGAGCAAUGCCGCGUGAGUGAUGAAGGUCUUCGGAUCGUAAAACUCUUUUAUUAGGGAAGAAAAGAUGCGUAAGUAAAUGCGCACAUCUUGACGGUACCUAAUCAGAAAGCCACGGCUAACUACGUG
rnacentral:rRNA from 1 species